ncrna:unclassified sequences Streptococcus sRNA SpF59 (ldcC RNA)
AGACCCAUCCCAGCGGGGAUAUAAGGCCAAACGGACAGCCGGGGGUCGCAUGCCGA